rnacentral:lncRNA from 1 species
AUCAUCCUCAGUCUUUAAUGGUGAUACUUGAUGAAUAUCUUUGGCCUAUAUUGCAAAGAUGAAUGAUUACCUGAUGAAUAUCUUUGGUCCAUAGUGCAAAGAUGAACAGGUGUUGAGAUGAACAUGACCAACUGGUGAUACAAAUGAAUAUCUUUGGCCCGUAGUGCAAAGAUGAAUAUUUGAUUCAAGAUGUAUAUUGAUUG